rnacentral:lncRNA from 1 species
CUCCUGUUUGUUGUCAUCUCUUUCGCGCUGCAUCGUGUUCGGAUUUCGAGAAGGACAAGAGAAGAGAAACAGAAAAACCACUGAGGAGGACCUGCAGCAUUACAAGAACAUCAAUCGGACAUCAGAUUCGCUACGUUACGCCGCUGACCACAGAGACACACCGCGGCCACUGACGACGAGUCCAGGUGUUCCUGUUCAACCUGCCAGUUUCAGGAAUGAUGGUUUGAACGCUGGGUCUGCACCACCUCCUUAUCAAGGAUCUAUCGGAACAAGUGAAACUCUGCCUCUGACAAGAAACACAGAUUCCCGACAUUACUAGUUGAUUGAUAUGGAGUCAUGGCCAGCAUGACAGUAUUUGUACCUCACCACCGCUGAAAGUGCCUGAGGAUCGUACGAGCGAUUCUGUCUAUCUGUGGCCGUCUGUGGUUGAAUGCCAACAUGUAUAGAAGUAGCCACAGGCUCUACAACGCGUGGUUUCUACCCAGGCCCCCUGUUCAGUUCUAUGUGUAAACAUAGCAGCUGUUAGUUGUCGGCGACUAAACGCUGCUUUCACUUUGGCAUAUUUUUGUACUAGUGUUUAUUGUGAAGUGCGACUGUAAGGUUUGUCACUGAUCUGAGAUGGAAACGGGAUGUCCGUUCUAGCGUGGCAUGCACCGGUGACGUUUCUUUAGCAGACAUUAAACUGCGCCGGGUGUGUUACUAGAUUAAUCGUAGCGCAUUGUUAUGAUUACUAACUCUAGUCGAAUUUAUUAUUAUUGCAGAAAAGACGGUUGCGAGUGGCCUUUCUUGAGUGCCACGCGUACGUGACACAUCAUCGUGUUUUAUCGUGUCAACUUCUCGUCAUACCGAUUUUAUACAUUGAAUGUACAUUCUGUACUAAUUUCUAUACCCCGUGCGACAAGUUCCGUACAAUAGAUCAUAAAUUAGUGCAGAGUGAGAGUACCGCUGCUAAUGUACCAAUACCGAAACUGCGAUGUUGCAACUGGUGCAGUGUGUGUAUGCAGAAAUCCCCUACAUUAGCAUCGUCAUCUUGUCUGUAGCUGGUGUGAGCACUUUCCUAACUGCAUAGUAUUCGUGGGUUAAAAUAACCUCACUUGCUUCUGGUGAUUUUAGCUUGGUCUUGUUGAUGGCCCCAGGCAGUGCUGCAAAGUUGGGCACUGUCUUGUAUUUAUUUAGAUGUAUGUUACUCACUUAUUAGUGACAAUCAAAAUUUUAGAUUUUAUAUCUGUACUAAUAUAUAUCUAUAUACGUACAUAUACCCGUUUAUAUUCUAGUCACCGAUGCUCGCAUGCUGUGACUAAUAGAGAAGGCCUUGCAUGUUUGCUAGCAUUGAAACAAGAAGCUUUAUUAAUAAGUAACUUUUUCUGUCAUACUUAGAUUGAACUGUCUGUUAAAUGAUAAAGGUUACUUGUUAUAGGGUAAUAUAAUUAUGUUUAAAAUAUUAUUUUGUUAAUAUUCGUUAAAUGUAUCAUAAUCAACUAAUGUUCAGAUUGUAGGGAUAUUUUAUAUAAGCAUUCUAUCUUAGCAUGGGUAAUUUCUAGGGUCCCUAUAUACAGAGAGUUGCGCCAACUCAGGAUUUGACGCCAUGUUGUUUCCAAAUGGAUCAACACCGC